GACUGUGUUGCUCAGUUGGUAGAGCAUGGUGCUUACAAGGGGUGUGGGUUCGAUUCCCACUGGGGCCA
rnacentral:tRNA from 1 species